rnacentral:rRNA from 1 species
GACGAACGCUGGCGGCGCGCUUAACACAUGCAAGUCGAACGGAAAGGCCUGCUUUCCCUUGUGGAUUGCGGGUACUCGAGUGGCGAACGGGUGAGUAACACGUGAGUGAUCUGCGCCCAACUUGGGUAUAAGCCUGGGAAACUGGGUCUAAUUCCCGAUAGGACUGCAGGGUGGUGCCUGUGGUGGAAAACGAUUUUCUAGUGGUUGGGGAUGAGCUCGCGGCCUAUCAGCUUGUUGGUGGGGUAAUGGCCUACCAAGGCGGCGACGGGUAGCCGGCCUGAGAGGGUGGACGGCCACAUUGGGACUGAGAUACGGCCCAGACUCCUACGGGAGGCAGCAGUGGGGAAUAUUGCACAAUGGGCGGAAGCCUGAUGCAGCGACGCCGCGUGGGGGAUGACGGCCUUCGGGUUGUAAACUCCUUUCGACCGCGAGGAAGCCACCUGGUUGGAAGGGUGGUGACGGUAGUGGUAGAAGAAGCACCGGCUAACUACGUG